CCUACGGGGGGCUGCAGUGGGGAAUAUUGGACAAUGGGGGGAACCCUGAUCCAGCCAUGCCGCGUGUGUGAAGAAGGCCCUCGGGUGUAAAGCACUUUCAGUGAGGAAGAACGCCUGGUGGUUAAUACCCAUCAGGAAAGACAUCACUCACAGAAGAAGCACCGGCUAACUCCGUGCCAGCAGCCGCGGUAAUACGGAGGGUGCGAGCGUUAAUCGGAAUUACUGGGCGUAAAGCGCGCGUAGGUGGCUUGAUAAGCCGGUUGUGAAAGCCCCGGGCUCAACCUGGGAACGGCAUCCGGAACUGUCAAGCUAGAGUGCAGGAGAGGAAGGUAGAAUUCCCGGUGUAGCGGUGAAAUGCGUAGAGAUCGGGAGGAAUACCAGUGGCGAAGGCGGCCUUCUGGACUGACACUGACACUGAGGUGCGAAAGCGUGGGUAGCAAACAGGAUUAGAUACCCCAGUAGC
rnacentral:rRNA from 1 species